rnacentral:tRNA from 1 species
GCCUUCGUGGUGUAAUGGUAGCACACUCGGCGCGUAUUCAAGAAGUCCAGGUUCGAGUCCCGGCGAAGGUA